CCUGAAGCAACAUCUGCCCCACACCACUCUUUGCCAAGGCAGGUUUGGUAUGGGAGUGAGCGCAAAGCUUCUUACUCAGGAUGAAGUCGAGCUCCUCACCCUGGCAAAGUCCUCCAUCCAGGCAAGUCACCUAAAGGAACUCAUGAUGAAUCAAUAAUAUCAACACUAUUCCUGCAAAGCCAGAGGCUGGAGAUUUGCAUUUUGAAAAUAACAAAGGAUAGGGAUCCCUGGGUGGCGCAGCGGUUUGGCGCCCUGCGCGAUCCUGGAGACCCCGGGUCGAAUCCCACAUCGGGCUCCCGGUGCAUGGAGCCUGCUUCUCCCUCUGUCUAUGUCUCUGCCUCUCUCUCUCUCUCUGUGACUAUCAUAAAUAAAUAAAAAUAAAAAUAAAUUUAAAAAAAAAAGAAAAUAACAAAGGAUAAGGGAGGACACAUUUAAAAAUUUUUUGUUGGCAGUCUGAAAUGUCUAGCCCUACCACUAACUGAAUUAACAGACAAAAUGAACUCCAAACAGCUGAACUGCUGGUACAAAGGAAGGAAAUUAUAAAUACCCACUGUGAAGGAAUCCCUGGGUGGCUCAGUGGUUUAGCCCGUGCCUUUGGCCCCAGGGUGUGAUCUUGGAGUCCCGGGAUCAAGUCCCACAUCAGGCUCCCUGCAUGGAGCCUGCUUCUCCCUCUGCCUGUGUCUCUGCCUCUCUCUGUGUGUGUAUC